rnacentral:lncRNA from 1 species
GUUACUCUCAUGCUACAGUAGGUUACUCUCCCAUGCUACAGUAGGUUACUCUCCCAUGCUACAGUAGGUUACUCUCUCCCAUGCUACUGUAGGUUACUCUCCCAUGCUACUGUAGGUUACUCUCUCAUGCUACUGUAGGUUACUCUCCCAUGCUACUGUAGGUUACUCUCCCAUGCUACAGUAGGUUACUCUCCCAUAUGACUGUAGGUUACUCUCCCAUGCUACUGUAGGUUACUCUCCCAAGCUACUGUAGGUUACUCUCCCAUAUGACUGUAGGUUACUCUCCCAUGCUACUGUAGGUUACUCUCCCAAGCUACUGUAGGUUACUCUCCCAUGCUACUGUAGGUUACUCUCCCAUGCUACUGUAGGUUACUCUCCCAUGCUACUGUAGGUUACUCUCCCAAGCUACUGUAGGUUACUCUCCCAUGCUACUGUAGGUUACUCUCCCAUGCUACUGUAGGAUAAUAUCUGGAUUGUUUCAUAAUAACUCUUGUCUGGUGUGGGAUGUGCAGUUCCGGAGUGCAGAGAAUAACUUGUACUGAUGUGGAUUGGAGCAAACAAACCAUCUACAUAGUGGUGAUGUGUACGUUUUAGAUUAUAUUAUUACUAUUAUUUUACUAAGGUUGUAUAUGUUUUACAUUAUAUUAUUACUAUCAUUUUAUUAAGGUUGUGUUCGUUUCACAUUAUAUUAUUACUAUUAUUUUAUUAAGGUUGUGUAUGUUUUACAUUAUAUUAUUACUAUCAUUUUAUUAAGGUUGUGUAUGUUUUACAUUAUAUUAUUACUAUCAUUUUAUUAAGGUUGUGUAUGUUUUUGUAGUAAAGGAAUAUAACGUUCCAGAUUAAAUGUAUCUUUGGAGAAAGUGAAGUGUGUGUGGCUUUUACUUUUUAAGUCUUUUGCUUGAAUAAAAACCACGCUUACAAAUGAAUGAUGAUAACAACCCUUUGCUACUCCAUGUCUUAAAGUAAAGUGUUAUAAGUCACUGUGG